GCUUAACAGUCGACACAAUGCCACGUACACAGGCGUGCAGCUGCGCUCGCGAACGUGAGCCCAAGCCAGACCAGCGUGCGGCACACGUUGUCAUUUCCGUCGUGAAACAUUUGACCACGUUAUAACGCUAAUAUCGCGCGUCACCGUGUCAAGGGUGAGAGUUGAAUAUUUAAUUCGCGGUAUUGUCGGAGCCCUCGGUGCCGCUCGAUUGCUUCUUUCUUUCCGUCUCCUCUGCGCACUCGGUUCCGACUAAUUAAUCGUGAGAUUUCUUUUGCUGCUGCUUGCGUCACGAGCAACGAUUCCGAUAAUGGAUGGCGGACGUUCAUAUAUUACGUAGAUGUACUCUUCAUAAACUUUUUCGAAGGGUCUUGCUGCGAACACGUUGAAUGGUAACCAUGGAAAAUUGGGUAAACCCGGCCGCCGGAAUAUUGCACGUUGUCAUCAAAGGAUUAAUUGAAAAUGGAGAUGACAUUGUCGCCGCUUGAAAAUUACUGGGAAUGUGGAUUAUCGAAGCGCCAGGUAUAAACGUAUCUCUAUUUAUAAUGUCACUUCGAAUUGGGAUAUCUGAAUUGACGGCAUUAUGAUUGCAACAAGCCCAAAGGAUAAUCGCAAGUAAUACGAUAAUUACUGAGGAAGCGCAUUUUUAACACUGAUUAAUUAAGACGAAAACUUCAGUUUAGUACACGCAUUUCAUUCUUAUUAUUUGCAAUACCGUUUUACAUUUACAAUGGUAAAUGAACAGCAGUAAAGUAACUAUGUCAGAAUAAACCACUGUAUGGAUAAAUGAAAGGUGCAAGCUCUCGAUUAGACGUAAGAGGUUUAAAACUGAACUAAAACUAUGAAUUCAACGGCUGCUCCUUUAAAGUACUUGUGUGGUUGGAGCUAUAUUAGCUUAUUGUUAGUAAUAAUACUAAUUUUAUUAUACAUGAAUGCAUUGAUAUGCAAAAUGUAAUUUCGCGUUUACAAGAGCUUACCAUGUACUGUAUGUAUAUAUGCGAAAUAAUUGAAGGAUUCGAGAUUAAUUUACAAUACCGGAGAUUGUAUAUUUAGUACAAUGAUGUAGUAAUUACAAUGGCUACUAAUAAUAUAUAGAUGCGUUAUAGAUAAUUUCGAAUUAUUAGUUGUUACAUAUUACACAAUUAGCGAUUAUAGACUGUUAUGUAAAGUAUAAACUAUGUAAGUUUCGUGUAAUGAUUUGUGUAAAUGUCCUUUCAUUGCUAAUUGUUUAGUAUCGUUUAUAAUAUGAAUACAUGUAUGGAAAUUAUGUAAAAAUUUACCGUACUUUGGAUGUAAAGUGAAAUUGUUAUGAGAGAUUUUUGCAUGUCACGAAAUAUUUCUUUAUUUCUAAAAAGAUAUAAUAUAUAAUGCGUAGAAAAUGAAAGGCAUAUGUCAAUAGAAUUAGUGUUUAAGAAAUUA